CCCGGUUGACGGUACAGUUUCAUGGUGGCCGAGCGGAAACGAGUUAUCCUGAUCCUUCGGGGAACGAUAACGGCGUCGAGCGGCGGACGGGUGAGUAAUGCCUAGGAAAUUGCCCUGAUGUGGGGGAUAACCAUUGGAAACGAUGGCUAAUACCGCAUGAUGCCUACGGGCCAAAGAGGGGGACCUUCGGGCCUCUCGCGUCAGGAUAUGCCUAGGUGGGAUUAGCUAGUUGGUGAGGUAAGGGCUCACCAAGGCGACGAUCCCUAGCUGGUCUGAGAGGAUGAUCAGCCACACUGGAACUGAGACACGGUCCAGACUCCUACGGGAGGCAGCAGUGGGGAAUAUUGCACAAUGGGCGCAAGCCUGAUGCAGCCAUGCCGCGUGUGUGAAGAAGGCCUUCGGGUUGUAAAGCACUUUCAGUCGUGAGGAAGGUGGUGUAGUUAAUAGCUGCAUUAUUUGACGUUAGCGACAGAAGAAGCACCGGCUAACUCCGUGCCAGCAGCCGCGGUAAUACGGAGGGUGCGAGCGUUAAUCGGAAUUACUGGGCGUAAAGCGCAUGCAGGUGGUUUGUUAAGUCAGAUGUGAAAGCCCGGGGCUCAACCUCGGAAUAGCAUUUGAAACUGGCAGACUAGAGUACUGUAGAGGGGGGUAGAAUUUCAGGUGUAGCGGUGAAAUGCGUAGAGAUCUGAAGGAAUACCGGUGGCGAAGGCGGCCCCCUGGACAGAUACUGACACUCAGAUGCGAAAGCGUGGGGAGCAAACAGGAUUAGAUACCCUGGUAGUCCACGCCGUAAACGAUGUCUACUUGGAGGUUGUGGCCUUGAGCCGUGGCUUUCGGAGCUAACGCGUUAAGUAGACCGCCUGGGGAGUACGGUCGCAAGAUUAAAACUCAAAUGAAUUGACGGGGGCCCGCACAAGCGGUGGAGCAUGUGGUUUAAUUCGAUGCAACGCGAAGAACCUUACCUACUCUUGACAUCCAGAGAACUUUCCAGAGAUGGAUUGGUGCCUUCGGGAACUCUGAGACAGGUGCUGCAUGGCUGUCGUCAGCUCGUGUUGUGAAAUGUUGGGUUAAGUCCCGCAACGAGCGCAACCCUUAUCCUUGUUUGCCAGCGAGUAAUGUCGGGAACUCCAGGGAGACUGCCGGUGAUAAACCGGAGGAAGGUGGGGACGACGUCAAGUCAUCAUGGCCCUUACGAGUAGGGCUACACACGUGCUACAAUGGCGCAUACAGAGGGCGGCCAACUUGCGAAAGUGAGCGAAUCCCAAAAAGUGCGUCGUAGUCCGGAUUGGAGUCUGCAACUCGACUCCAUGAAGUCGGAAUCGCUAGUAAUCGUGGAUCAGAAUGCCACGGUGAAUACGUUCCCGGGCCUUGUACACACCGCCCGUCACACCAUGGGAGUGGGCUGCAAAAGUAAGUAGGUAGUUUAACCUUCGGGGGGACGCUUACCACUUUUGUUCCAGC
rnacentral:rRNA from 1 species